GCCUUGUUUUCUUGGUGUUCUCCAUUCCCCCUUGCUCCUACACUCUUUCUGCCUCUUCUUCCACAGGGUUCUGUGAGCCUUGAAGGGAGGAAUUUGAUGAAGUCAGUCCACUAAGGACAGAAUGUAUGUCACUCUCUGCACAUUGUCCAGCUGUGUAUCUCUGUUUUUAUUCCCAUCUACUGCAGAAAGGAGCUUCUCCAAUAAUGGCCAAGCAACACACUGACCUAUGAGUAUAGCAGAAUGUCAUCAGGAGUCAUUUUAUUGAUCUUGUGCUUCAGAUACUCUACUGAAGAGGAACAAGGAACUACAGAGGAAAAUGAAAUCAUUAAGUUUUCAGAUCCCAAACUUGAGCUGUGAGCAUAGAAGCUAGAGUAGCCACAGAAACUAGGAAAGUAAAAAGAGGAUCAAGAGGAUGUCUUGGCGUCCCCACUGCUGUGAUGGAAACACCAUGACCAAAACCAACUUGGAGAGGAAAGGGUUUAUUUAAAUUUACAUCUCUGAGGGAGCCAGAGCUGUAGCAGAGGCCAUGCAAGGCUGCUACUUUCUGGCUUGUUCCUCAUAGCUUGCCCAGCCUGUUUUCCUACAGAACCAGAAUCACCAGCACUGGGAUGGCACUGCCCCUAGUGAGCUGAGCCCUUACACAUCAAUCUCCAAUCAAGAAAAUGCACCACAGGAUUGCCCACAACCCAGUGUGGUGGGAUAUUUUCUCUAGAAGAUCGCUCUCUCAAGAUGAUUCUAUCUGGGGUCAAGUUGACAGAAGUGGCGGGCUAGAUAGGGAGAAUGCUAAACACAGGUGAUAUCAAAGAGGGAAUGGGAAAAACAAGGAGGGGACCUCUUACUUGAGAAGAGGUCAGUCCACAAGGACAGAGGGUCCUGCGGGACAAAUAGCACUGAGGAUGCUUGGGAAAGCCUUAAGGAGAUGUAUUGCUUUGUAUUUGCCUAAAAUUACAUACAAUACAUGUAAGUGUACAGGCAUGAGAAAUGGGCUUUAGAGUUGUUGGUUAAGGGGAGUCCAAGAGACUCCCCACACAUUGUAGGCUGUUACUAUUGUCCUUGGUUGCCCCUCAGAGGUUGGAGGUAAGUCCUUAUUGCUGAAGACGCAACUUACUUCAGACACAGAACUUAGAAGAUUCGAGUUGGACCCAACCUGAAAGCUUCUUCCCUGGAGACUAGUUUUUAUAGCCUGAGAAGGUGCUGUUUAGACUGCCAUGGGAGUUGUUCCCAGAUGUAAAGUCUGUGAAACUCAGAAAAGAGCAGCAUGACAAGAUAUGUCUAAAGACACAGCACUGUCACUCAUACCUUGGCGUCAACCAGCAGCUUGAUAAUGGGACAGAAGGCCCACUCAACAAAAGGGAAGCCAUGCCUGGUACCGGAAACCUAGCAGGUGAGCCGGGGCUACUAAGCUCAUGGAUCUCAGAGAACCUACUCCAACCACUGAACUAGGGCAGCAGAACCCCUCACUGCAUAUAAGCUCCCAACUCACAUCAAAAAAGCCUCUGCAACAGCCAGGAAACCACAAGAGGUCAAAGUGCAAAAACUAACUGAUCAUGGGGUGAGCAGCCCCAAUGGACAAUCUACAAUAUAACUCCUGCACCUUGGGCUCAGGGAGAGUCAUGGAAGAGGAGACAGAAUGUGUGAGCCAGAGGACACGGGAAAAGUGAGACUGUGUCCUAGGAAUGACAGGGACGCUUCAUCAAUGAUACCUCAACAAAAUGGCUACCUAAACAAGUUCUGAACAAGCACAACAUCAAUAGACAUAUUACUAUUGAGGAAUCUCAUGGGGCUCCACCUUUAGAUAGGAAUUAAGAGAUGUUGAAAAUAGGAGAAGUAUUUCCCCCUCCUGGGGUGGGGGGGAAGAAUAACUGCUAAGUGGUUAUCCAAUAUAAAAAGUAGCACUGAAAUCAUUUACUUGAUAAAAGUACUUAAUGAACUGAG